AGCUGGUUGCCUAAGAAAUGGAUAGAAGUUCAGCCCCGUGCCCCCCCCCCAAACCAAAACACAUCUAAUUAAGGUAGUUUUCAAGGGAUACACACGGGAGUUAGUUAGAGGGGGUACAGCCCGUCUAACAAAGGAUACAACCUUAUUUAAGGAGGAUAAAGAUCACAAUACUUAAAACAUACUGUUUUAGUGGGCCUAAAAGCAGCCAUCUAAACAGAAAGCGUUAAAGCUCAGACAGAGCAAAGUUUAUUAUACUGAUAAAAAAUCUUAUUCCCCUAGUGAUAUUAGGCUACCCCAUGCCCACAUGGGAGAAAUUAUGCUAAAAUGAGUAACAAGAAGACCUGUUCUUCUCCAAGCACAAGUGUAAACCAGAUCGGACAAGCCGCUGGAGAAUAACGAACCCAACCAAA
rnacentral:rRNA from 1 species